GACGAGGGGUCCAAGCGUUGUUCGGAAUCAUUGGGCGUAAAGCGGGUGUAGGCGGCUCUAUAAGUCAGAAGUGAAAGCCCCGAGCUUAACUUGGGAAGUGCUUUUGAUACUGCAGAGCUUGAAUGUGGGAGAGGGUAGUGGAAUUCCUGGUGUAGUGGUGAAAUACGUAGAUAUCAGGAGGAACACCGGUGGCGAAGGCGGCUACCUGGCCCAACAUUGACGCUGAGACCCGAAAGCAUGGGGAUCAAACAGG
rnacentral:rRNA from 1 species